rnacentral:rRNA from 1 species
UGGGGAAUUUUGGACAAUGGGCGCAAGCCUGAUCCAGCAAUGCCGCGUGCAGGAUGAAGGCCUUCGGGUUGUAAACUGCUCUUGUGGAGCGAAAAGGUCUGCCCUAAUACGGUGGGCUCAUGACGGUACCGUAAGAAUAAGCACCGGCUAACUACGUGCCAGCAGCCGCGGUAAUACGUAGGGUGCAAGCGUUAAUCGGAAUUACUGGGCGUAAAGCGUGCGCAGGCGGUUAUGCAAGACAGAGGUGAAAUCCCCGGGCUCAACCUGGGAACUGCCUUUGUGACUGCAUAGCUAGAGUACGGUAGAGGGGGAUGGAAUUCCGCGUGUAGCAGUGAAAUGCGUAGAUAUGCGGAGGAACACCGAUGGCGAAGGCAAUCCCCUGGGCCUGUACUGACGCUCAUGCACGAAAGCGUGGGGAGCAAACA